CUCAGAUAAGAUGUUGAGUGCUGUGAAGGAGGAGCUUCAGAUGAGACGGUAACAUUUCUGUAAAUGCACAAGAAUCAACCUGAGGGCUAGUUUUCAUCUGCGGUCGCUGGACAUAUGUUAAAAGACAGCAGCAGAACGAGCAGCUCCACACAUGAAGGUGGAAACUUCAGAAGUCAGAACUGAUUCAGCAGUCAGACGGCAGCAGAACGAGCAGCUCCACACAUGAAGGUGGAAGCUUCUGGAAGUCAGGACUGAUUCAACAGGUGAGAAUCACCUCAUUGAUCUUUACUGCCCUGUAACUGAUUGAGCGAUAUUGUACGUCAGUUCUGUGGGGAAUUGUUCUUUUU
rnacentral:lncRNA from 1 species